GAUGAACGCUGGCGGCGUGCCUAAUACAUGCAAGUCGAGCGAACGGACGAGAAGCUUGCUUUUCUGAUGUUAGCGUCUGACGGGUGAGUAACACGUUUAUAACCUACCUAUAAGACUUGGAUAACUUCUGGAAACCGUAGCUAAUACCGGAUAAUAUUUUGAACCGCAUGGUUCAAAAGUUAAAUACUUUCUUUCUGUCACUUAUAGAUGGAUCCGCUCUGCAUUAGCUAUUUGGUAAGGUAACGGCUUACCAAGGCAACGAUGCAUAGCAGACCUGAGAGGGGGAGCGGCCACACUGGAACUGAGAAACGGUCCAGAGUCCUACGGGAGGAAGCAGUAGGGAAUCUUACGCAAUGGGCGAAAGCAUGAAGGAGCAAAGCCGCGUGAGUGAUGAAGGUCUUCGGAUCGUAAAACACUGUUAUUAGGGAAGAACAUAUGUGUAAGUAACUGUGAACAUCUUGACGGUAACUAAUAAGAAAGCAACGGCUAACUACGUG
rnacentral:rRNA from 1 species